rnacentral:tRNA from 1 species
GGUUAUGGCUCAGUGGUAGAGUGCUAGGCUAGCACAUGUGAGGCCCUGGGUUUGAUCCUCAGCACCA